GGUAAUUGGUAACGCUUGACUCUUAACAAAUGUAAACAAACGUCAAAUCCCUUAAUUAUUAAUAUUAUAAAACAAGAUAAAACAUUUUUUUUUCAAAAAUGCCUCGCUGCGCAGCAAUCGGUUGUAAUAAUAAUGGAAAUCACAGUUUCCCUAAGGAUUUACGAAUAAGAAGACUUUGGGAAAAAGCUCUGAAAAGACGUAAUUUCAAAGCUAUAAACUAUUCGAGGUUAUGUUCGAAACAUUUUAUUGAAUCCGAUUAUGAAGGCAUAAGCUCUUCUACAGGUUUACCUCAAGUUCAUAAAUAUUUGAAAAAGACUGCAAUCCCAACUGUUUUUGCCUGGAAGAAACCCACUACCACAGCAAGUAUUGCAAGGGAACAAAGAUAUUUGAAACGCGAAUCUAGAAAAAAACUGGUAUUUCAAUCAACAUCUGCAACAGAGAUUGACACUAAUAUUCCUUCUAUACCUCAAGAAGAGACUAUUGAAGUUUUGCCUCUGGUUCCUAACAUUCAAGUUGAAGUUAAAUUGAUGACCAGUCCAGCCCAGGAAAUCAGGGUAGCCCCACCUCCAUCCACUCCAAAUAGAGUAUCAACCCAAACUACAUUAAUUCAGAUUUUUAUCCUCAGAUAAUAUGUUAUGAGAUGCCAGAUUGGUUUUGAUUUUAGAGGACAUAUCUAAACUUAAUUUGAUGUUCUCUACAUUAUUACCAAUGCCAUAUCAUUAAAAUUAUAGGGGCAGCCAUGUCAUUAACAUCAGUGUAAUUUAAAUGAAACGCAAUCACUUGCAGUGACAAAGAACGACUAAUUUAUUCAAACACAUCACAGAUACAAUAGACGACAGUAAUACAUUUUGACAUAACUGUCAUUAGAUGGCGUUACUUGUACCAUUUCUAUAUUUUGAUACUUUCAACA